rnacentral:miRNA from 1 species
UUUUUAGCCUAAGUAUGUCCCAUGUAAUUUUGGGGAUACUUACACUAAAA